UACGGGGGGGGCAAGCGUUGUUCGGAAUUACUGGGCGUAAAGAGCUCGUAGGCGGCUUGUCGCGUCGUCCGUGAAAACCUGGGGCUCAACCCCAGGCUUGCGGUCGAUACGGGCAGGCUCGAGUUCGGUAGGGGAGACUGGAAUUCCUGGUGUAGCGGUGAAAUGCGCAGAUAUCAGGAGGAACACCGGUGGCGAAGGCGGGUCUCUGGGCCGAUACUGACGCUGAGGAGCGAAAGCGUGGGGAGCGAACAGG
rnacentral:rRNA from 1 species